GGCGCGUUUGCCAUUACGAGCUUUGUGCGCCCCUCUCCUUUCUCUUCUUCUUCUUCAGGAUUUUUAUUUAAAAUUAAAGGAAAAAAUGGCGCUCCUGAAGGCCGUCCAUGUCUCCGACGUUCCCAAUCUCGAUCAGGUUCCAGAGAAUGCAUCUGUAGCUCUCUAUUCCCUUUCCAACACCUUCUCUGAAGGUGUUGAAUCUGUUUGCAACGGCGGCGAUGGUGGUAGAAAGUCGUCGCGGUUUAGAAUACCGAAGUUUAUGGUGAUCGGGCACAGGGGAAGCGGAAUGAACAUGAUGCAGUCGUCGGACCAGAGAAUGAAGGCGAUCAAGGAGAACUCUGUUCUCUCCUUCAAUGCCGCCGGAAAAUCCGAUAUUCACUUCAUCGAGUUUGAUGUUCAGGUCACAAAGGAUGACUAUCCAGUCAUUUUCCACGACAACUUCAUCCUUGCAGAAGAGAAGGGAAGCUUAAUUGAGAAAAGAGUUACAGACCUUACUUUAGCUGAAUUUCUCAGCCAUGGACCCCAGAGAGAGCCCAUAAAUGUGGGAAAGCCUUUGUUCAGAAAAAUAAAAGAUGGGAGAAUCUUCAAGUGGAACGUUGAGGUUGAUGAUCCUCUAUGUACCUUGCAAGAGGUUUUCCAGAAGGUCGAACACUCGUUGGGUUUCAAUAUCGAAUUGAAGUUUGAUGAUAAUAUAGUCUAUAAAGAGGAAUAUCUCGCACACGUUCUCCAACUCAUCCUGCAGGUGGUAUUUGAGUCUGCGAAGGAUAGGCCUAUCAUCUUCUCAAGCUUUCAACCCGAUGCAGCGCGGUUGAUCAGGAAGAUGCAGAGCAUAUACCCUGUGUUCUUCCUCACCAACGGGGGAUCAGAAAUUUACAGGGACACGAGAAGAAACUCCCUGGAUGAAGCCAUUAAACUAUGCUUGGAAAGUGGCCUGCAAGGAAUCGUGUCUGAAGUUAAAGCUAUAUUUAGAAAUUCUGGAGAAAUAGCUAGAAUUAAGGAGUCCAACCUCUCUCUCAUAUCUUAUGGCCAAUUGAAUAAUGUGGCAGAGGCAGUGCAUAUGCAGUACAUAAUGGGUGUGGAGGGAGUGAUUGUGGACUUGGUCCAAGAGGUCACAGUGGCAGUCUCAGGUUUCACCAAUCCUGCAGCUUAUGAAAAGGUCAAGGAAGAUGAAGAAGGAAGAGGCUUCCUUGGGGAGGAAAGGCAGAUGCAAGUUAAAGCAAAGCCCCAUUUCUCACACCACGAACUCUCCUUCCUGCUGAAACUCAUUUCAGAACUUAUGAUCCAGCAUUGAGGGCAAUAAAAACCUGCCUUGUGUGCAGGAGAAAACUGGGGGAAAAAAAAAAAGGUACAACGAGCGAAAGAGGAAAGCAAGUUUUUGCUACUUAACUGUUAAUAAUGGAGGCAGGGGAAAGUGUGUUUGGAAGGAGGGGGUUUUGGCAUUUGGUGGAGAGAGGAAGGGAGGAGGGUGAAGGUAGGAAGCUUCAAAGAAUGGGAGGGAAGAGGCUUUUGACACCACCUUCUCCACGUGCGCCCAAACAGGCCCUUAUCCUCCUUUUUUAUUUUGUAUAAUUGUAUUUGAUUUGAUCCCUCCCUUUUGAGGAGAAGCACGAAGUUUCCUUAAGUGUAACUUCGUGUGCCCAACUACCCAAAAAAAUGUAAACACCAUUCUCUCUCUCUCUCUCUCUCUCUCUCUGCCAAAUGGUAUCUCACUUAAAGAAUGCUUUGAAAUUUUGAGUUAAUAUAUAGUUUAGAAGUGAUUGGAAACAUGAAUUAGAAGAAUAAAUUUAAAUUUAAGUCUCAAUAUUCAUGUUGCCAAACGUAAGAUGAGAGGAUUUUUAUGUAAAUUUUAAAUGAUAAUAUUUCAUUCCA